rnacentral:lncRNA from 1 species
UUUUUUCAACGGUUUUCCAUAAAUAAAAUUAUGUUGUUUAGUUGUAAAUUAUUUUUUCUUUCAUUUAAGUUCAUUGGAACAGAGGGAUCAUAAGAAUUUAAGACGAACGAAUUGAUCACUGCAUUUCGUUUAUGUGCAAAACAGUACAGACAGCGUAGCAGCAUGUUCUUGCUUAUUAUUCACAUGAUGUACAUCGAUCGACCCCUGCUAAGAAGAAGUGCAACUUGAUGGAUGUACUGCUGCUGCUAGUGGGUAGCUACUUGGUGGUUUGGUAGGGCGCCUCGCAGAACUCGCCGCCAAGAUCGUCGCACGCCUCGUCCGGGAACACCCUGCAUCCGUCCAUCCACACAUAGUUUCAGUUAUUAGUGACAGGUGCAGUGCCACAACUAUAUAAUAUGAUCAUGUAGGCAGGGUUACGUUUUUGGCCCGUCGUAGGCUAGGUACUCCCUCUCCACCUCCGGCGCCCUCGCCGCGGCCGCCGGGGCGCCUGCACCGGCGCCGAGCUUCGUCUCCGGGUACAUCUGCGCCUCGCACGCCUCGCCGCCGACCAGGUCGCAGGCCUCCAUGGG